GCAUUGUUGGUUCAGUGGUAGAAUUCUCGCCUGCCACGCGGGUGACCCGGGUUCGAUUCCCGGACAAUGCA
rfam:Strongylocentrotus purpuratus Contig112514_fixed, whole genome shotgun sequence.